rnacentral:rRNA from 1 species
GUGGGGAAUCUUGCGCAAUGGGCGAAAGCCUGACGCAGCCAUGCCGCGUGAAUGAUGAAGGUCUUAGGAUUGUAAAAUUCUUUCACCGGGGACGAUAAUGACGGUACCCGGAGAAGAAGCUCCGGCUAACUUCGUGCCAGCAGCCACGGUAAUACGAAGGGGGCUAGCGUUGCUCGGAAUUACUGGGCGUAAAGGGCGCGUAGGCGGACAGCUUAGUCAGAGGUGAAAGCCCAGGGCUCAACCUUGGAAUUGCCUUUGAUACUGGCUGUCUUGAGUACGGGAGAGGUGAGUGGAACUCCGAGUGUAGAGGUGAAAUUCGUAGAUAUUCGGAAGAACACCAGUGGCGAAGGCGACUCACUGGCCCGUUACUGACGCUGAGGCGCGAAAGCGUGGGGAGCAAACAGGAUUAGAAACCCUUGUAGUCC